UUUUGCCUACGGGAGGCAGCAGUGGGGAAUAUUGCACAAUGGGGGAAACCCUGAUGCAGCGACGCCGCGUGAGUGAAGAAGUAAUUCGUUAUGUAAAGCUCUAUCAGCAGGGAAGAAAAUGACGGUAACUGAGUAAGAAGCCCCGGCUAACUACGUGCCAGCAGCCGCGGAAAUAAGUAGGGGGCAAGCGUUAUCCGGAUUUACUGGGUGUAAAGGGAGCGUAGACGGAAGUGCAG
rnacentral:rRNA from 1 species